rnacentral:rRNA from 1 species
UACGGGGGGAGCAAGCGUUGUUCGGAUUUACUGGGCGUAAAGGGCGCGUAGGCGGCCACCGCAAGUCGGUUGUGAAAUCUCUGGGCUUAACCCAGAAAGGUCAACUGAUACUGCGGGGCUAGAGUGCAGAAGGGGCAACUGGAAUUCUCGGUGUAGCGGUGAAAUGCGUAGAUAUCGAGAGGAACACCUGCGGCGAAGGCGGGUUGCUGGGCUGACACUGACGCUGAUGCGCGAAAGCUAGGGGAGCGAACGGG